UACAGAGGGGGCAAGCGUUGUUCGGAAUUACUGGGCGUAAAGGGCGCGUAGGCGGCCUGUUAAGUCGAACGUGAAAUCCCCGGGCUCAACCCGGGAACUGCGCUUAAAACUGUGGGACUCGAGGGAGAUAGAGGAAAGCGGAACUGAUGGUGGAGCGGUGAAAUGCGUUGAUAUCAUCAGGAACACCGGUGGCGAAGGCGGCUUUCUGGGUCUUACCUGACGCUGAGGAACGAAAGCUAGGGGAGCGAACGGG
rnacentral:rRNA from 1 species